GGAUUUGUGCCUGAACGCUAUAGGGUCACUUUGAUAGAGUGAAUUAUGGGGGUUAAAAUCCUCCCGAGUCCU
rnacentral:tRNA from 1 species